AUGAACGCUAGCUACAGGCUUAACACAUGCAAGUCGAGGGGCAGCAUGGUCUUAGCUUGCUAAGGCCGAUGGCGACCGGCGCACGGGUGAGUAACACGUAUCCAACCUGCCGUCUACUCUUGGACAGCCUUCUGAAAGGAAGAUUAAUACAAGAUGGCAUCAUGAGUCCGCAUGUUCACAUGAUUAAAGGUAUUCCGGUAGACGAUGGGGAUGCGUUCCAUUAGAUAGUAGGCGGGGUAACGGCCCACCUAGUCUUCGAUGGAUAGGGGUUCUGAGAGGAAGGUCCCCCACAUUGGAACUGAGACACGGUCCAAACUCCUACGGGAGGCAGCAGUGAGGAAUAUUGGUCAAUGGGCGAGAGCCUGAACCAGCCAAGUAGCGUGAAGGAUGACUGCCCUAUGGGUUGUAAACUUCUUUUAUAAAGGAAUAAAGUCGGGUAUGGAUACCCGUUUGCAUGUACUUUAUGAAUAAGGAUCGGCUAACUCCGUGCCAGCAGCCGCGGUAAUACGGAGGAUCCGAGCGUUAUCCGGAUUUAUUGGGUUUAAAGGGAGCGUAGAUGGAUGUUUAAGUCAGUUGUGAAAGUUUGCGGCUCAACCGUAAAAUUGCAGUUGAUACUGGAUAUCUUGAGUGCAGUUGAGGCAGGCGGAAUUCGUGGUGUAGCGGUGAAAUGCUUAGAUAUCACGAAGAACUCCGAUUGCGAAGGCAGCCUGCUAAGCUGCAACUGACAUUGAGGCUCGAAAGUGUGGGUAUCAAACAGGAUUAGAUACCCUGGUAGUCCACGCCGUAAACGAUGAAUACUAGGUGUCGGGGCCCAUAAGGGCUUCGGUGCCGCAGCAAACGCAAUAAGUAUUCCACCUGGGGAGUACGCCGGCAACGGUGAAACUCAAAGGAAUUGACGGGGGCCCGCACAAGCGGAGGAACAUGUGGUUUAAUUCGAUGAUACGCGAGGAACCUUACCCGGGCUUAAAUUGCAGAUGAAUUACGGUGAAAGCCGUAAGCCGCAAGGCAUCUGUGAAGGUGCUGCAUGGUUGUCGUCAGCUCGUGCCGUGAGGUGUCGGCUUAAGUGCCAUAACGAGCGCAACCCUUGUUGUCAGUUACUAACAGGUUCCGCUGAGGACUCUGACAAGACUGCCAUCGUAAGAUGUGAGGAAGGUGGGGAUGACGUCAAAUCAGCACGGCCCUUACGUCCGGGGCUACACACGUGUUACAAUGGGGGGUACAGAGGGCCGCUACCACGCGAGUGGAUGCCAAUCCCCAAAACCUCUCUCAGUUCGGACUGGAGUCUGCAACCCGACUCCACGAAGCUGGAUUCGCUAGUAAUCGCGCAUCAGCCACGGCGCGGUGAAUACGUUCCCGGGCCUUGUACACACCGCCCGUCAAGCCAUGGGAGCCGGGGGUACCUGAAGUGCGUAACCGCGAGGAGCGCCCUAGGGUAAAACUGGUGACUGGGGCU
rnacentral:rRNA from 1 species